GAUGAAGAACGCAGCGAAAUGCGAUAAGUAAUGUGAAUUGCAGAAUUCCGUGAAUCAUCGAAUCUUUGAACGCAUAUUGCGCCCUCUGGUAUUCCGGCGGGCAUGCCUGUUCGAGCGUCAUUUCAACCCUCAAACCCCCCGGGUUUGGUGUUGGGGAUCGGCUCUGCCUCACGGCGGUGCCGCCCCCGAAAUACAUUGGCGGUCUCGCUGCAGCCUCCAUUGCGUAGUAGCUAACACCUCGCAACUGGAACGCGGCGCGGCCAUGCCGUAAAACCCCAACUUCUGAAUGUUGACCUCGGAUCAGGUAGGAAUACCCGCUGAACUUAAGCAUAUCAAUAAGCGGAGGA
rnacentral:misc_RNA from 1 species